UACGUAGGGCGCGAGCGUUGUCCGGAUUUAUUGGGCGUAAAGAGCUCGUAGGCGGUUUGUCGCGUCUGCUGUGAAAAUCCAGGGCUUAACCCUGGACCUGCAGUGGGUACGGGCAGACUGGAGUGCGGUAGGGGAGAUCGGAAUUCCUGGUGUAGCGGUGAAAUGCGCAGAUAUCAGGAGGAACACCGGUGGCGAAGGCGGAUCUCUGGGCCGUAACUGACGCUGAGGAGCGAAAGCAUGGGGAGCGAACAGG
rnacentral:rRNA from 1 species